rnacentral:rRNA from 1 species
AGUGAACGCUGGCGGUAGGCCUAACACAUGCAAGUCGAACGGCAGCACAGUAAGCGCUUGCCCUUACGGGUGGCGAGUGGCGGACGGGUGAGGAAUACAUAGGCAUCUACUUUUUCGUGGGGGCUAACGUAGGGAAACUUACGCUAAUACCGCAUACGACAUACGCGUGAAACAAGAGGAUCUUCGGACCUUGCGCGAUUGAAUGAGCCGAUGUCGGAUUAGCUAGUUGGCUGGGUAAAGGCCCACCAAGGCGACGAUCCGUAGCUGGUCUGAGAGGAUGAUCAGCCACACUGGAACUGAGACACGGUCCAGACUCCUACGGGAGGCAGCAGUGGGGAAUAUUGGACAAUGGGCGCAAGCCUGAUCCAGCCAUACCGCGUGAGUGAAGAAGGCCUUCGGGUUGUAAAGCCCUUUUGUUGGGAAAGAAAAGCAGCAGGUUAAUACCCCGCUGUUCUGACGGUACCCAAAGAAUAAGCACCGGCUAACUUCGUG